CAUGCCUUGAGGUGGGGGACAACCAUUGGAAACGAUGGCUAAUACCGCAUAAUGUCUACGGACCAAAGGGGGCUUCGGCUCUCGCCUUUAGAUUGGCCCAAGUGGGAUUAGCUAGUUGGUGAGGUAAAGGCUCACCAAGGCAACGAUCCCUAGCUGGUUUGAGAGGAUGAUCAGCCACACUGGAACUGAGACACGGUCCAGACUCCUACGGGAGGCAGCAGUGGGGAAUAUUGCACAAUGGGCGCAAGCCUGAUGCAGCCAUGCCGCGUGUGUGAAGAAGGCCUUCGGGUUGUAAAGCACUUUCAGUCAGGAGGAAAGGUUAGUAGUUAAUACCUGCUAGCUGUGACGUUACUGACAGAAGAAGCACCGGCUAACUCCGUGCCAGCAGCCGCGGUAAUACGGAGGGUGCGAGCGUUAAUCGGAAUUACUGGGCGUAAAGCGUACGCAGGCGGUUUGUUAAGCGAGAUGUGAAAGCCCCGGGCUUAACCUGGGAACUGCAUUUCGAACUGGCAAACUAGAGUGUGAUAGAGGGUGGUAGAAUUUCAGGUGUAGCGGUGAAAUGCGUAGAGAUCUGAAGGAAUACCGAUGGCGAAGGCAGCCACCUGGGUCAACACUGACGCUCAAGUACGAAAGCGUGGGGAGCAAACAG
rnacentral:rRNA from 1 species